CCAGCACUUUUCCUCCUGUGUACCAAGUGCUUGCAGACACUGCCACGUUCAAACUGUAAACUCUCACAGGAGAGGCAGCUCAUCGUACUGGGCAUUUGCAGUUCUCUGGAAGUAUGUAGCAGGAUGGGAAAAAAACCCAGUGAAUCCUUUCCGUGAUGUACCUCAGCCUUGUCUUCAGCUCAGUGAAUUUUGAUCCUGCUCCUUAUGUUAUCUACAACUAGGUGAACAUCUGCAAGUGCCAAAAGGGUUCUGGAGAAGUAGAUGUACCUGAGAAGUCAGGUGAGGCUUCAAACACUGUUGUACACAUUGCAAAGGCAUGGGGUAACCCUGCCUGUGCAGAAGUUCCUUCCUUGAUUCCUGCACAGCAAACAGCACUUGCUAAGAGGGCUCCAGAACCUACAGAUCCCCACGUGUCUUCUCUAGUAUUUGCAGCAGCAUGAUGGCCUGUUGAAUGCUAUGCCAUCCAGAGAACUUGUGGUGGUUGGCAUUUCUGAAUAGUUUGCAGUUUUCUGGUGGACACCUCACUUCCUCAUCAGAGUACUCAGAGUUAUUUGGGAGUGUUCAGGAAACAGGAGUCUCCUUACAAGAGUCCAUUUGUUUUGGGUGCCCAGUUCAAAUAUAUGCUGGGCAUGGGGUUUUGAUUCUUCAGAAAUUCUCCUGAUUCUUCCUGACAUUCUCCUCUGGAAGACAGAUGUCUCAGAUGGGACGUCCAAGAUCAUUAGCUGAUUUUCUGGAAAAUAAAAUUCAAUUGGCAGUGACCCA
rnacentral:lncRNA from 1 species